GGAGGGAUGGCCGAGCGGCUUAAGGCGCACGAUUGGAAAUCGUGUUGGGGUUGAUAGCCCCUCGGGGGUUCGAAUCCCCCUCCCUCCGCCA
rnacentral:tRNA from 1 species